GUUCUGAGAGAACCGUAGGGCUUUUCAAUCGGACAGGUGGAAAGGCGCCGCAUGUUCAAAUCCUGCGGCCCUAAUGGCUAGGAUAUUUAAGCUAAAAAUUUUACUUUCCUCUCACUUUGCCCUUUCUCUCUCAAGAUCUUCUUCUUCUUCUUCCUUCUCUCUCCACUCCACCUUUUCUGUAACUCCCACUCACUCGCCUUUUCUUCCCUUCGCUCCUUGCCAUCGAAGUUCUACUCACCCCCUGAGGUCUCUCUCCCCCACCCCGCCAUAAGUGCCUCCAGAUCCCAUCAACUCUGACCAUUUGUGGCUUUUUCUAGAAGCUUUGUCUCAAGAUCUUCUAUUCAGGUUGGGUUCCUCCUUGCCAGCGGCCGCAACCAACUCCCCCACUAUCCCUACUCUGUUCCGGCGAGUUCAAACUCAAAGCCCCAAAGCCCCCUCUAGAACUCGCCUUUAAUCUUCCCUGUCUCUACACUCCUCCAAACUCGCCUUCACAACUCACCCUCUUCCCCCACGAUUUGAUAUCCCUAAGUUUAGACUCUUUGAUACCCUUUUUCACCAAACCCCCUAAAUGUCGAGUCUUCUCUUGUUGUCGAUGUUCCCAACAAGACACCUCUAGGCAAACGGAAUGGAUCCGAGCUCUCCCUAAGCUCGAAAGGUAGGAUACCUUAAUGGCAACGAACCACUUAGCUCUCAAAUACGAUCAAGCAGAUAAGUGUCAAAUUUUCACUUUUUUUUUUUUUUGGUUCUUACUAUGGUGAUGCUUCGAAUGUCAAGUGGUGAUUGAAUUUGUGUGAGCUAAAAAAUGAAAAUCCACUCACUUGCUUGUGAUUCGAGGUUGGUGAUGAUGAUGUUGCUUGGUGCGUGCAUUUCUCUUAUUAGGGUUUUGGGGCAGAGAGGAGGAGACGAGAUACUCUCAUCUCAUAUAAGGUGAGCAAGCAACGGGUUGACUCGCGCAAGUCAACCCAUGAGAGCUCAGAUUACUCGAGUGGAUCACGUACUGGAAAACACGUGAAACCUUGGAGAUCCAGCUGGCAGACCAGGGGUGGAGGGCUUGUGUUUUUUUAUUUUACUUUUUCUGUCUUUCUAUAAUUUUGUGUAAAUGCAUGAACCCCCAUCCCUUCUUCUACUACAAUAUCUUUUUGUACCAUUUUUACUUCCCUGUACUUUUGAAUUUGUUAUUUUCUGUAUUUUGCAUCAUCCCUUCCUAUAUUUGUUUUCCUUGUGCCCUGUCCCCCCCUUUAAAUAACAGAUGACUUGAUUUUAUUCAA